GAUGAAGAACGUAGCGAAAUGCGAUAAGUAGUGUAAAUUGCAGAAUUCAGUGAAUCAUCGAAUCUUUGAACGCACAUUGCGCCCCUUGGUAUUCCAUGGGGCAUGCCUGUUCGAGCGUCAUUUGUACCUUCAAGCUUUGCUUGGUGUUGGGUGUUUGUCUCGCCUUUGCGUGUAGACUCGCCUUAAAAUAAUUGGCAGCCGGCGUAUUGAUUUCGGAGCGCAGUACAUCUCGCGCUUUGCACUCAUAACGACAGCGUCCAAAAGUACAUUUUACACUCUUGACCUCGGAUCAGGUAGGGAUACCCGCUGAACUUAAGCAUAUCAAUAAGCGGAGGA
rnacentral:misc_RNA from 1 species